rnacentral:rRNA from 1 species
CUCCUGACUGACCGAUAGUGAACCAGUACCGUGAGGGAAAGGCGAAAAGAACCCCGGCGAGGGGAGUGAAAAAGAACCUGAAACCGUGUACGUACAAGCAGUGGGAGCACAGAGCAAUCUGUGUGACUGCGUACCUUUUGUAUAAUGGGUCAGCGACUUAUAUUCUGUAGCAAGGUUAACCGAAUAGGGGAGCCGAAGGGAAACCGAGUCUUAACUGGGCGUUAAGUUGCAGGGUAUAGACCCGAAACCCGGUGAUCUAGCCAUGGGCAGGUUGAAGGUUGGGUAACACUAACUGGAGGACCGAACCGACUAAUGUUGAAAAAUUAGCGGAUGACUUGUGGCUGGGGGUGAAAGGCCAAUCAAACCGGGAGAUAGCUGGUUCUCCCCGAAAGCUAUUUAGGUAGCGCCUCGUGAAUUCAUCUCCGGGGGUAGAGCACUGUUUCGGCAAGGGGGUCAUCCCGACUUACCAACCCGAUGCAAACUGCGAAUACCGGAGAAUGUUAUCACGGGAGACACACGGCGGGUGCUAACGUCCGUCGUGAAGAGGGAAACAACCCAGACCGCCAGCUAAGGUCCCAAAGUCAUGGUUAAGUGGGAAACGAUGUGGGAAGGCCCAGACAGCCAGGAUGUUGGCUUAGAAGCAGCCAUCAUUUAAAGAAAGCGUAAUAGCUCACUGGUCGAGUCGGCCUGCGCGGAAGAUGUAACGGGGCUAAACCAUG